rnacentral:rRNA from 1 species
CUUGGAAGCAGCCAUUCAUUUAAAGAGUGCGUAACAGCUCACUAGUCGAGGAGUUCUGCGUGGAUAAUAAUCGGGCAUAAGCCGUUUACCGAAGCUGUGGAAUUGGCAACAAUUGGUAGGGGAGCAUUCCAUGAGCCGCAGAAGGUGUUCCUUGAGGAAUGCUGGAGGUGAUGGAAAAGCAAAUGUAGGUAUAAGUAACGAUAAAGAGGGCGAGAACCCCUCUCGCCGAAAGACCAAGGGUUCCUGAUCAACGCUAAUCGGAUCAGGGUAAGUCGGGCCCUAAGGCCAAGCCGAACGGCGCAGCCGAUGGCAGAAACGGUUAAUAUUCCGUUACUAUGAUACGGAGUGACGAGGAGACGGAGAAGUGACACUCUCGCCUGCUGACGGAAUAGCAGGUUGAACGGAGUAGAUAAUGACAUGGCAGGCAAAUCCGCCGUGACAGUCGAACCGGAUAGUACUGGGCGCCCCCGGGCAACCAGAUAGCAGAGGUAAUCAGGCUCCCGAGAAAAUCCCCUAAACAUAUGCGUAUCAUACCCGUACCCGAAACGGACACACGUGGUUGAGUAGAAAAUACUAAGGCGCUCGAGCGACUCACGGUUAAGGAACUAGGCAAAUUGACCCUGUAACUUCGGGAUAAAGGGUCCCUCCCUCCGGGGAGGGCGCAGAGAAUAGGUCCAGGCAACUGUUUAACAAAAACACAGGGCUGUGCGAAAUUGAAAGAUGAAGUAUACAGCCUGACACCUGCCCGGUGCUGGAAGGUUAAGAGGAGAUGUCAUCGCAAGAGAAGCGUUGAAUUGAAGCCCCAGUAAACGGCGGCCGUAACUAUAACGGUCCUAAGGUAGCGAAAUUCCUUGUCGGGUAAGUUCCGACCUGCACGAAUGGUGUAAUGAUCUGGACACUGUCUCAACCGUGAACUCGGUGAAAUUGUAGUAUCGGUGAAGAUGCCGAUUACCCGCAACGGGACGGAAAGACCCCGUGAACCUUUACUGCAACUUAACAUUGAAUUUGGGUAACUGAUGUGUAGGAUAGUCCGGAGACAGAGAAGUGGAUACGCCAGUAUUCAUGGAGUCGUCCUUGAAAUACGGACCUUUGGUUAUUUGAGUUCUAACCCGUAUGAUAUGGGGACACUGUUUGGUGGGUAGUUUGACUGGGGUGGUCGCCUCCAAAAGCGUAACGGAGGCUUCUAAAGGUACCCUCAGGCCGAUUGGUAACCGGCCGGAGAGUGUAAUGGCACAAGGGUGCUUGACUGAGAGACCGACAAGUCGAUCAGGUAGGAAACUAGAGCAUAGUGAUCCGGUGGUUCCGCAUGGAAGGGCCAUCGCUCAAAGGAUAAAAGGUACUCCGGGGAUAACAGGCUGAUCGCUCCCAAGAGCUCAUAUCGACGGAGCGGUUUGGCACCUCGAUGUCGGCUCGUCACAUCCUGGGGCUGGAGAAGGUCCCAAG